rnacentral:rRNA from 1 species
AGCGAACGCUGGCGGCAGGCCUAACACAUGCAAGUCGAACGAACCUUUCGGGGUUAGUGGCGGACGGGUGAGUAACACGUGGGAACGUGCCUUUAGGUUCGGAAUAACUCAGGGAAACGUGUGCUAAUACCGAAUGUGCCCUUCGGGGGAAAGAUUUAUCGCCUUUAGAGCGGCCCGCGUCUGAUUAGCUAGUUGGUUGAGGUAAUGGCUCACCAAGGCGACGAUCAGUAGCUGGUCUGAGAGGAUGAUCAGCCACAUUGGGACUGAGACACGGCCCAAACUCCUACGGGAGGCAGCAGUGGGUAAUCUUGCGCAAUGGGCGAAAGCCUGACGCAGCCAUGCCGCGUGAAUGAUGAAGGUCUUAGGAUUGUAAAAUUCUUUCACCGGGGACGUUAAUGACGGUACCCGGAGAAGAAGCCCCGGCUAACUUCGUG